rnacentral:lncRNA from 1 species
UAGGCUCCUUGCUGUGGUUUCUAAUUAUUUUGAGUCUUAGGGUUAACCUCGGAUUGACUUGACAAUCUACCCUUUUCUCUUUCACUAACAGUAGUGACUAACUGAUCUAAUUGUAUUUCUAAUCGGGCUAUCGCUUGUGUGUUUGCUGUUAGCAAUUGAUCAGUUAUCUGCAUAAAUUUAGCAUUAGAUUUAACUAGGAUUUCUAGGCUUUUUCUUUAGAGAAUUAAUUUUUCUUUCAUUAUUA